UGUAGCCUUUUUCCAAGUGGUCGCACGCGCUUCGUUCGCACAGACAAUAAAAAUUGCACAGAAAUAAUUUUGUUUCCUGUGAUAAAAGCAAAACAAACAACAAACACGUUUUAUUGUGAUUACAGUUUAAGUUUGCAAACAAACACAUCUCAACAGUGGCCAAAGCAAUCAAUACGAAUACAAAAAAUAUUUGACGCGUGGCGUUAAAAUUCAGCAAAGAUAAAAUUUAACAAAUCCAAACUCAAUUUCGAGAGGAAGUCAACUAAUUAAAACAUAUAAAAUGAAUUCCAACAGCCAAAUCUAUUGCCAUGGACCCCUGCUGCAUACUGUUCAAAUGGCGAAGCUGUUUCAAGACUCCAAGACCUUUGUGGACAUGAAACUAAAGUUCGCGCCUGAGAAAACCAUGGAGGAUUUCGAGGCGAUGAUGGAGUCCAAAAAUAAUAAUCCCAGCCAAGAUGAAAUACGCGAAUUUGUUAAUUCUCACUUUGGAGAUAAGGGCACCGAGUUGGAUGCGUGGACGCCACCUGAUUGGAUUGAGCAUCCCACUUUUCUGGAUCUAAUCCGUGAUCCCGAUCUGAAGCAAUGGGGUGUCGAUUUGAACAACAUCUGGAAGGAGCUAGGGCGUAAAAUGAAAGAUGAUGUGCACAAAAAUCCCGAAUAUUACUCCAUCAUACCCGUACCCAAUCCCGUUAUUGUGCCAGGCGGUCGCUUUAUUGAGUUUUAUUACUGGGACUCGUACUGGAUCAUUCGUGGUCUGCUCUACAGCGAUAUGAAGGACACCGCCCGUGGCAUGAUUGAGAACUUAAUGUCCAUUGUGAAGAGGAUCGGAUUUAUUCCGAAUGGCGGUCGUGUCUACUACGGAGGACGCUCACAGCCACCACUCCUAACGGCAAUGGUGAAGUCAUAUGUCGACUUCACCAAGGAUGACAUGUUUGCCAUUAAUGCGCUGGAGACACUCGAGCACGAGUUUGAGUAUUUCAUGAAUAAUCACAGCGUCCAGGCAAAGGGACACAAUCUAGCCGGGUACCGAGAUACCACAACUGGGCCACGGCCCGAAUCCUAUCGUGAGGAUGUGGAGACAUCCAGCGGCUUUCUAACACCCGAGGCUAAGGAGAAUCACUACAGCGAACUGAAGGCAGCCGCCGAAUCGGGCAUGGAUUUCAGUUCCCGCUGGUUCAUCAACGAGGAGGGCACCAAUAUUGGCAACCUUACACAAAUCAUGACACGCUCCAUUGUCCCCGUCGAACUAAAUGCAAUUCUGUAUCAGAACGCCAAGACGAUUGCCGAGUUUCACUCCAAGGCGGGCAACAUUGAGAAGAUGACCGAGUAUGAGACAAAGGCCAAAAAGAUUCUAGAGGCGAUCCAGGCUGUAUUGUGGAACGAGGAAGUUGGCUGCUGGCUCGAUUAUGAUUUGAUCAACAAUAAGCCAAGGAAUUAUUUUGUGUCCAGCAACCUGUCACCAUUGUGGACCAAGGCAUAUAAUAUUGCGGAUUCAAAGAAAAUCUCGGACUCCGUGCUAAAUUACGUUGAGCAGAACAAACUGGACACAUUCCCAGGCGGCGUGCCAAAUACCAUCUACCAGACCGGUGAGCAAUGGGACUUCCCCAAUGUGUGGGCGCCCUUACAGUAUAUUGUUGUCGAGGGUCUGGAUAAUCUGGGUACCCCGGAAGCCAAAAAUCUCUCCAAGAGCUGGGGUCAUCGUUGGGUCAAAUCCAACUUUGAGGCAUAUCGCGAGACGCUGGCAAUGUUUGAAAAGUACGAUGCGGAAAAGUUUGGUGGACAUGGUGGCGGUGGAGAGUACGGCGUACAGACGGGCUUCGGCUGGAGCAAUGGCGUGAUAAUCGAAUGGCUGGCGAAAUAUGGACGCGAGAUCUCGAUCAAUGGGAAGGACGCUGCAGGUGAAAACGAGAAUUAGAGCAGCCCCUAAAAGAAAACAAAACAAAUCAUACAUCACGACAAAGAAAAUAAAUCAACAACGCUAUCGAAAUAUUUGAAUUCAUUAUAUGCACUAUAAUGUACUUUAGUGUCAAACCGAAGCUCACAGAGAGAUGCUCACAAAUAGUUGAUAAUGUGUAUUUACUUGUAAGAACCCGAAACCCAUUAUAAAGCGCGUAUCCAUCCUAUCUACUAAAUUUAUCCAUCAAUCGAUAGUUUAAGUUACCUGUCGCCCCUAUGCUGUCUAUAACCACUCUCUGUAACGGCAACAAUCAACGAUGUCAAUUCAACAAGCACGAAAAGAACAAGAAACAAAAUUUAAUCACCCAUCCAUCACUGAGCAAGCACCAGGAGAACAUGUCCAGUUCAAGAUUGACUUCCAGCUACGACAACAACAACAACUACAACAACACACACUUCUCUCAAUAUAUUAUUACUAUAUAACGCUUUUCAUCUGUCUUCGACUUUGCCUUUUUUGUCUUCGCCUUUGACUCGUCCCGCAUUGCCUCGCAUCUACAUCUGUAUCUGUUUCAAAUUGAACGAGUGUUGCAUCCUUGCUGACCUCGUCUAAUGUCAAAACUUUUACACCUCCAAGCAGACAGCUAAUCAGCGUGUUGGGCGUGUCGGCGAUCGCUUUAGUGGGUGUCG